UACAGAGGGUGCAAGCGUUAAUCGGAUUUACUGGGCGUAAAGCGUGCGUAGGCGGUUCAUUAAGUCGGUUGUGAAAUCCCUGGGCUUAACCUGGGAACUGCAGUCGAUACUGGUGGACUAGAGUACGGUAGAGGGUGGCGGAACUCCGGGUGUAGCGGUGAAAUGCGUAGAUAUCCGGAAGAACACCGAUGGCGAAGGCAACCACCUGGGCCUGUACUGACGCUGAGGUACGGAAAGCGA
rnacentral:rRNA from 1 species